UUGCUUUUACGGCGGUAUGUAUUCUAAAAUUGGAACGAUACAGAGAGGAUUAGCAUGGCCCCUGCGCAAAGAUAACACGCAAAUUCGUGAAGCGUUCCAUAUUUUU
rnacentral:snRNA from 1 species